rnacentral:rRNA from 1 species
UCCGUGGCUACAGAACGAACGCUGGCGGCAUGCCUAACACAUGCAAGUCGAACGAGACCUUCGGGUCUAGUGGCGCACGGGUGCGUAACACGUGGGAAUUUGUCUCGGGGUAUGGAAUAACUCAGAGAAACUUGAGCUAAUACCAUAUAAUGUCUUCGGACCAAAGAUUUAUCGCCCUGAGAUAAGCCCGCGUAGGAUUAGCUAGUUGGUGAGGUAAAGGCUCACCAAGGCGACGAUCCUUAGCUGGUCUGAGAGGAUGAUCAGCCACACUGGGACUGAGACACGGCCCAGACUCCUACGGGAGGCAGCAGUGGGGAAUAUUGGACAAUGGGCGAAAGCCUGAUCCAGCAAUGCCGCGUGAGUGAUGAAGGCCUUCGGGUUGUAAAGCUCUUUUACUCGGGACGAUAAUGACGGUACCGAGAGAAUAAGCCCCGGCUAACUCCGUG